rnacentral:rRNA from 1 species
GACGAACGCUGGCGGCGUGCUUAACACAUGCAAGUCGAACGGAAAGGCCCUGCUUUUGUGGGGUGCUCGAGUGGCGAACGGGUGAGUAACACGUGAGUAACCUGCCCUUGACUUUGGGAUAACUUCAGGAAACUGGGGCUAAUACCGGAUAGGAGCUCCUGCUGCAUGGUGGGGGUUGGAAAGUUUCGGCGGUUGGGGAUGGACUCGCGGCUUAUCAGCUUGUUGGUGGGGUAGUGGCUUACCAAGGCUUUGACGGGUAGCCGGCCUGAGAGGGUGACCGGCCACAUUGGGACUGAGAUACGGCCCAGACUCCUACGGGAGGCAGCAGUGGGGAAUAUUGCACAAUGGGCGGAAGCCUGAUGCAGCAACGCCGCGUGCGGGAUGACGGCCUUCGGGUUGUAAACCGCUUUCGCCUGUGACGAAGCGUGAGUGACGGUAAUGGGUAAAGAAGCACCGGCUAACUACGUGCCAGCAGCCGCGGUGAUACGUAGGGUGCGAGCGUUGUCCGGAUUUAUUGGGCGUAAAGGGCUCGUAGGUGGUUGAUCGCGUCGGAAGUGUAAUCUUGGGGCUUAACCCUGAGCGUGCUUUCGAUACGGGUUGACUUGAGGAAGGUAGGGGAGAAUGGAAUUCCUGGUGGAGCGGUGGAAUGCGCAGAUAUCAGGAGGAACACCAGUGGCGAAGGCGGUUCUCUGGGCCUUUCCUGACGCUGAGGAGCGAAAGCGUGGGGAGCGAACAGGCUUAGAUACCCUGGUAGUCCACGCUGUAAACGGUGGGUACUAGGUGUGGGGUCCAUUCCACGGGUUCCGUGCCGUAGCUAACGCUUUAAGUACCCCGCCUGGGGAGUACGGCCGCAAGGCUAAAACUCAAAGGAAUUGACGGGGCCCCGCACAAGCGGCGGAGCAUGCGGAUUAAUUCGAUGCAACGCGUAGAACCUUACCUGGGUUUGACGUGGAUCGGGAGCGCUCAGAGAUGGGUGUGCCUCUUUUGGGGUCGGUUCACAGGUGGUGCAUGGCUGUCGUCAGCUCGUGUCGUGAGAUGUUGGGUUAAGUCCCGCAACGAGCGCAACCCUUGUUCACUGUUGCCAGCACGUUAUGGUGGGGACUCAGUGGAGACCGCCGGGGUCAACUCGGAGGAAGGUGGGGAUGACGUCAAGUCAUCAUGCCCCUUAUGUCCAGGGCUUCACGCAUGCUACAAUGGCUGGUACAGAGAGUGGCGAGCCUGUGAGGGUGAGCGAAUCUCGGAAAGCCGGUCUCAGUUCGGAUUGGGGUCUGCAACUCGACCUCAUGAAGUCGGAGUCGCUAGUAAUCGCAGAUCAGCAACGCUGUGGUGAAUACGUUCCCGGG